rnacentral:rRNA from 1 species
AUGGCCAGCGGCUCAGUCGAUAAUUGGUUGGGGAGCACGAGUUUCUCGACGCAGGCCGGCUCGCAGCAGCCGGAGGCAUCGCUCUCCCAGUCAUCGCCAAUGGGUUGCAAUUUGGCUGACCAGAAGUGGGAGAUAUGGUUUCAUUUAGAAGGAAGAAACCCUGUGAAAAGGGUAUAUUUGAGUCAGAUAGUUCUUUGCUUACUCUACAAUCACUCAUUGCUAGUGAAGGGUAUGGGGACAGUGAUUACAUGUACUAUGUGA